GAUGAACGCUGGCGGCGUGCCUAAUACAUGCAAGUCGAGCGAACGGACGAGAAGCUUGCUUCUCUGAUGUUAGCGGCGGACGGGUGAGUAACACGUGGAUAACCUACCUAUAAGACUGGGAUAACUUCGGGAAACCGGAGCUAAUACCGGAUAAUAUUUUGAACCGCAUGGUUCAAAAGUGAAAGACGGUCUUGCUGUCACUUAUAGAUGGAUCCGCGCUGCAUUAGCUAGUUGGUAAGGUAACGGCUUACCAAGGCAACGAUGCAUAGCCGACCUGAGAGGGGGAUCGGCCACCCUGGAACGGAGACACGGUCCUGACUCCUACGGGAGGCAGCAGUAGGGAAUCUGCCGCAAUGGGCGAAAGCCUUACGGAGCAACGCCGCGUGAGUUAUGAAGGUCUUCGGAGCGUAAAACUCUGUUAUGAGGGAAGAACAGAUGUGUAAGUAACUGUGCACAUCUUGACGGUACCUAAUCAGAAAGCCACGGCUAACUACGUG
rnacentral:rRNA from 1 species